UGGCGACGCUGCUUUCGCUGCCGCUGCCGCUGCCGCUGCCGUUGGCGCUGUCGAUAAGUCUUCAAGCGGUUUUAAGCAUGACGACUUAGAGAGCUACCUGCUUGUUCGUUCUUAUCAGUUGGGCGCCUCACAUUGACGUCGAAAUCGAAUUCGAAACGGGCCUUAUGGAUUUACAGAGUAUUGUACAAAGAAACUCUUUCGAUAAAGAAGAAGCAAAAACAAAACAAAAGAAUAAAAUAACGGCCGAAGUCUUACUUCAGAUAUACUGAGUGUACAGAGUAUUGUGCAAGUCAGCAACGUUA